rnacentral:rRNA from 1 species
AGGGUUCAUUCUGGCUCAGGAUGAACGCUGGCGGCGUGCCUAACACACGCAAGUCGAACGGAAACUAGGCGCUUCGGAGACUUCGGUCAAUGUUUGCUUAGUUUUAGUGGCGGACGGGUGAGUAACGCGUGGAUAACCUGCCUCAUACAGGGGGAUAACAGUUAGAAAUGACUGCUAAUACCGCAUAAGCGCACGGAAUCGCAUGUUUCUGUGUGAAAAAACUCCGGUGGUAUGAGAUGGAUCCGCGUCUGAUUAGCUAGUUGGCGGGGUAACAGCCCACCAAGGCGACGAUCAGUAGCCGGCCUGAGAGGGUGAACGGCCACAUUGGGACUGAGACACGGCCCAAACUCCUACGGGAGGCAGCAGUGGGGGAUAUUGCACAAUGGGGGAAACCCUGACGCAAGCGACGCCGCGUGAGUGAAGAAGUAUUUCGGUAUGUAAAGCUCUAUCAGCAGGGAAGAUAAUGACGGUACCUGACUAAGAAGCCCCGGCUAACUACGUGCCAGCCGCCGC